rnacentral:lncRNA from 1 species
GUACUUUUAGUUAUAUAUGGACAGACACAACCAAGUAGGAGUAGUUAUGUUAAUUGCAUUAAAAAGCAUACCAAUUUAUACUCAGGAUCAAAGUAGCCGAAGGUACCAAGAACUGUGGCGGUAACACAGUUUUCAUGCCCAUCUGGCAUGAACUUUGCAAGCCUGAAAUUUGAUAUCUGAGAAAUUCGACAAUUUAACUUUGUAAGAACAGGAACAUAAAGCUAAUCUCUGUCCUUUAUAAGAGAGAACAGAGGAUAAUUUACCUUUGCCUCAUAGUUAUCGUUCAAAAGGAUAUUGGUGGAUUUGAAGUCCCUGUGAACUAUAGGAGCUCCAAUCUCUGUACUUGAAUGGAGAAAAGCAAGUCCUCUCGCUGCUUCAUUAAAAAGAACACUAAGAUUGGUAAGCAUGCACAUGCACCAUACCAAUUACCAUAUCAUUAAUCUCAGAGACCAAUUUUUGAGGGCAUAUUUACAGCUGCAUCCUUGUUCGCAAGCUUACUAAGACACAUGAGAAGUUUCAAAUGGAUAUGUGUCUUCAGCUUAUCCACGUCGGGUACAUUUAGGCAAAAUUGCAGAGUUCGACUGAAAUCUUGCACUUGUAAUGAGUUAGCCUUUCUGUCAGUCGGUUGUGCAGUUCAUGCGCUGUGUUGGUGAAACAAAGUAGUAGUAUUUGUUUAUCUGGCUGUAUAUGGGAGCAUAAUACGGGAUCUUAAUUUAAUAAACAUAAUACAGUAGACUCUUAUGUAGAAAAAGAGAGGGGGAGAAUCAGGAAUGAGCUUAUGUAAAUGAUAUCUUUCAGCUCUCUAUUUAAUUAUUUUUCUAUAAAUUCAUUGUUCUCGCAAAUAAUCUAAAGAUCUUUGCUGAAUUAUUACCAAUAAAUUUUGGGUAUGGGAGUUGGGAUAUUUUUUCCCAGGACAUCAUUGAAACCAGGUUAUAUUUUACUAAGUACGACGAUUAAUGGCAACUGAAGGAGACCUGGUUUGUUCAUCCACAUCCAUAUCUUUUAUGUUACUACGUUUCUAUAUUUGUUUCUAAGAUUCAUUUUGAAUUCUGAUAGUAACAGCAGCAAGUGAUUCAUUGAAUAAGAAGGCAGUAGCAGCAGUACUAUAAGCUCUUAGUUCAGAUUUCCACAGGCCAACAUACUUAUAUAUUAGGUGCUGAGUCGUUGCUGAAAACGACCACCAGUAAGAAUCUGAAUGCGGUCACAAUUUAUUGAUAAACCGAACCAAUGACAGAUUAUUCUUCUGGUUGCUUUGCCUAGACGCCUGAACUAUGUUCUUCAUGUUGAAUUAAAUGGAUCUGGUGUAGUACUUUUAGUUAUAUAUGGACAGACACAACCAAGUAGGAGUAGUUAUGUUAAUUGCAUUAAAAAGCAUACCAAUUUAUACUCAGGAUCAAAGUAGCCGAAGGUACCAAGAACUGUGGCGGUAACACAGUUUUCAUGCCCAUCUGGCAUGAACUUUGCAAGCCUGAAAUUUGAUAUCUGAGAAAUUCGACAAUUUAACUUUGUAAGAACAGGAACAUAAAGC